rnacentral:lncRNA from 1 species
CUGUGGUAUCUGCGGGGAUCAGUUUGCAGAAUCCUUGGCCUCCUAAGCAGUGGGCAUAGCUCUUUUCAUUCCAGAAUCUCUGAUCAUUCCAGAGUCUCUCCUGUCACUGGGCUUAGGAGCCUGGGAAGGCGAAUAGAAGCUAGCUGGGGAGACAGGGGAGCUGUGGCAGUUUAAAAAGCCUGAUCUUGCGCUGGAGUUUUUCAUCUUGCAUUCUCAUGUAUCUUUGCCUUUUGAACACAUGUGCCUGAAGAAUUUUAAAGUUCACGUUUCUUGCUUUGCACUGCAAGCACACUCACCUUUGCAGAGUGGAAGUGCCUUGUCCCCAUUCUAGGUGGUCUACCUUCUGUUCUCUUUUCAGACCUCCUGGCUUAAGCCCUUGUUUCUCCUGGCUGUUAUGGCCAGACCCGGAGUCCCCGUUGUG